rnacentral:sRNA from 1 species
CCAGGCAGGACCAAGGACACCCAGGACAAAUGAUUGUGUUCCACCGGCAGCUUACUACCAGCCCAGUCUGACUGCGGAGUAUGAUGAAGACAGCCCAGGAGGAGACUUUGACUUUUUCUCCAACCUCGUAACCAAAUGGGAAGCUGCAGCCAGGCUUCCUGGAGAUCCUACACGCCAGGUGGUGGUGCGCUCAGGGGUUGUGCUGGGCCGUGGGGGUGGUGCCAUGGGCCACAUGCUGCUGCCCUUUCGCCUGGGCCUGGGGGGCCCCAUCGGCUCAGGCCACCAAUUCUUCCCCUGGAUACACAUUGGGGACCUGGCAGGAAUCCUGACCCAUGCCCUUGAAGCAAACCACGUGCACGGGGUCCUGAAUGGAGUGGCUCCAUCCUCCGCCACUAAUGCUGAGUUUGCCCAGACCUUGGGUGCUGCCCUGGGCCGCCGAGCCUUCAUCCCUCUCCCCAGCACUGUGGUGCAAGCUGUCUUUGGGCGAGAGCGUGCCAUCAUGCUGCUGGAGGGCCAGAAGGUGAUCCCACGGCGAACACUGGCCACUGGCUACCAGUAUUCCUUCCCAGAGCUAGGGGCUGCCUUAAAGGAAAUUGUAGCCUAAGUAGGUCGUGGCAAGGGCCUGAGGCCUGUCCCUCACAGGCUUCC